UUGGAGGGCAAGUCUGGUGCCAGCAGCCGCGGUAAUUCCAGCUCCAAUAGCGUAUAUUAAAGUUGUUGCAGUUAAAAAGCUCGUAGUUGAAUUUCGGGAUCAAUUUAUUGGUCGUGCCAACGGUACGCACUGGUACAAUUGGUUUCUCCCUUCUGACGAAGCAUGAUGUCAUUAAUUUGAUGUCGUGGGGAAUCAGGACUGUUACUUUGAAAAAAUUAGAGUGUUUAAAGCAGGCUUUGGCUUGAAUACAUUAGCAUGGAAUAAUGAAAUAGGACGUUUGAUCUUAUUUCGUUGGUUUCUAAGAUCGACGUAAUGAUUAAUAGGGAUAGUUGGGGGCAUUAGUAUUCAAUUGUCAGAGGUGAAAUUCUUGGAUUUAUUGAAGACCAACUACUGCGAAAGCAUUUGCCAAGGAUGUUUUCAUUAAUCAAGAACGAAAGUUAGGGGAUCGAAGACGAUCAGAUACCGUCGUAGUCUUAACCAUAAACUAUGCCGACUAGGGAUCGGAUGAUGUUAAUUUUUUAAUGACUCAUUCGGCGCCUUACGGGAAA
rnacentral:rRNA from 1 species